rnacentral:rRNA from 1 species
UACGGAGGGUGCAAGCGUUGUUCGGAAUCACUGGGCGUAAAGCGCGUGUAGGCGGCUAUCUAAGUCUGAUGUGAAAGCCCUGGGCUCAACUCAGGAAGUGCAUUGGAUACUGGAUAGCUGGAGUACCGGAGAGGAGGGUGGAAUUCCUGGUGUAGCGGUGAAAUGCGUAGAUAUCAGGAGGAACACCGGUGGCGAAGGCGUCCCUCUGGCCGGAUACUGACGCUGAGACGCGAAAGCGUGGGGAGCAAAC